UGACCACUAAGUAAUAAUCCAAAGGAUAUGCAAUCCAAACUCUAACUCUAAUCUUAUCUCUUUCUUAUUUAAAUUAGGUCCCUUCCUAUCUGAAUAAUAUCCCAUACCUAUCUGAGUACUGCCAAAUUCUAUGUCCCUGCACAAAGAAAGCUACAUUAUAUCCUCUGCAGUAAUUUUAUAUCAUAAACAUCAUGUAGGAAAGUAUCAUUUUUUUUGUAGUGUGGUUUACCACAGUUUAAAUAGUUUAUAAUGUAUCUUUCAUUUUAUUUAAAUUUUCUUAAUGGACACUUGAAAUUUGACUAUUUUUAGGGCCAUAGGUCUUUGCACGAUGGUACCGAGCAACUGAAUUAUUGUUUGCACUAAGCAGUAUGAAUCAGUUGUUGAUGUCUGGGAUGCUGGUUGUAUUCUUCCUGAAUUGCUGCUUAGACAACCUUUCUCUAGUUUUAUAAAUGUAGUCCAUAUAAUUAUUUGUUUCAAUCUAUUCGUGAUUGAGAUAUAUUCUCUAUGCUUUUCAGCGUAACAUGUAAUUAGAUAGUUAAUUUAUGACGUGAGAACCACAUGUUUAAAAUAGUAGUAUUAUGUACCACUCAAAACAUUGUUCUCAAAGCUCGACCGACAAGUACACUUCUUUCGACAAUCUAAUAGGUUGAACUGGACAAGCUGACCUAGUUUAUGAUUCAAUACUUUUUGGAGGAUUCGAACAUUUGAUUGUAGAUUGUUCAAAUAGAGAGCUAUUUCUUCUAGCCACGACAUCCAAUCAUCAUUUGUGCCAUAUGUGAGGAAAACUGGGUAGAAACAAAAUAUAGUAGUGUGACAAAGAAAUGUUUAAAUGAAUUAAGGUUGUUUUAAAUUUCGGUACUUGUUAAUAUAGCAUGUUCAUAUUCAUAAGUUUUUUUUCUAGGUUUCACAGAAAUGGUUGUGCUUGGUACUGGCUAUAAGACAUUUAGUUAUUUUGUUAAAUUGUGCUUCUUUUUCUACUGGUAAAGAUCCAUGCAAUCAUGGGUGAUGUGAUUUUGUUUAAUUAAUGCAGGAGGAAAUGUCAAAAAUUUGUGAAGUAGUUCAUGAUGGUAUAGUGGAACAUAAAUUGCCAGUGUGUGGACAUAAAAAAUGUAGCAAGCGGCCUAUUAUAUGUAACUAGAAGUAUCUUUCUUUCUUUCUCCUAGAUGGUAUCACAGCUGGUGAUUACAAAUUCUGGGUUAUCAUAUUUACAAUAUUUUUUCUGUUUUUUAACUCAUUAAAAAAUCCAACCUGCUAAUGAACAUAGGUACACCCAUUGUUAGAGAAGCAAUGUUCCAUACUCACCAUUAUGGUUUUCAUUUUUUUCUUAAAGUUAUAAGUCAAGUUCUUACUAGUUUAAGAGGUUCCAAUGGUAGUAUAUGUUGAAUUUUGGAGUCUCAUUAAAUGCUUUAUCAUUUAUGUCUUGGUUUGAAGAUUUUCAUACAUGGAAAGAUAUCUUAUGAGCCUUCUAAUGUCAACACGAUGCUCUUUUUCUGAGUCUGAAGCUGCAAUUGAUCUAGAAUGUUUGUUAGUUUUCUAGAAUACGAGAAUGUUUGUUCAUUUUCUCUCUAUUUCCGGUUUCAUUGGAAAUAUUUUUCAGGGUAACACCAUUUAGCACGUGACUCCCACAUUUGGCUUUUGUUUAUCUGCUUCUUUAUUAUUGCUUUGUGUAUAGCUGUUGCAGACUACAUGGUGGUUCCAGAUUAUCACGAUAGUCCUAGUACUAGUACUCCAUGGUAUAAACUUGGUUUCCUUUUCCUGCCAUACUAAUCUCUCUUGCACAGUUGCAUGCAGUAUGCAUACAUGACAGUCUAGAGACAGAGUUGGAAUAGAAUACUUGCGUAAGGAUGCAAAAAAAAAAUUCUAUUUUCCCCUCUUGGCCAGUUUCAUGCAACUAUACAUUAUUUUAGGUGUAGUGUCAUAAUUGAAAAUAAAAAGGAUGGUUAAGAUUUCUUGCUUAUGGUUAUUCUAGCUUAUAAGCAGGAUUUGAUAUUGCUAAUCGAGUUUCUUUUCGUGCGACUAUACAAUACUUUUGUACCUGCAUUGUUAUUUAGAAUUGGAUAUAUUGAGGGACAGAGGGUUGGUGAUUUCUCUCUUCCAUAUCCGAACUUAUCAACUCGUCAUAGAUGAUAGUGUGGAUUCACAUGAUGAAACUUUAGUUUGUAUCAACCUCAUCAACCCUUGUCCCUGGAUAUAAUUGGUUGCUCGUGUACUUUUUUUGGUUACGCUGACUGUACUUGCUGAUGUGCAUGUAUCCUUGAUUCUUUCUUGAUGGUGUCCUUUUAUCACAUUGUAUGGUCUCUUUCUAUUCGGGGAUAAUUAUUGUGUUCUAGAUAAAGUGAUAAACAUCACCAUACAUCUUCUAAGUUGAUGUAUUAGCUUUCUGAAUGUAUUAUGUUGUUCUAUAAUGUUAGAAGCAACAAACUAUAGUUUUUUCCUUUUACCCAUGGCAUUACAAUAAUGCAAAUUAUUUUUUACAAUUUUCUCAUCAUUGAGUUCCUGUCCUUGUCCGAGUAUAAUAAAUAUACUAAUGGAUGUUCUGUUGUGUUGCAAGUUGGGAGGUUACAUGAUGUCUUGCAUGUGACGGUGAGACUCGGCCUCCGCUAUGACCUCUCAGUCCUGACCUUUUGUGCUUCAAACUAUUUGGCACUGAUGAGCGAUGCUGGAGUGGUACAUGAAGCAUCAGGUUGCCGCGGGGCUCAUGGAUGCGACAACAAUAUCGUUGGGCAAGUGGAUGUGGCGGUGGAUUUUGGAGGGAGAAGUGGAACUAGCCAGGGGAGGUAGCCAUGGUCGCUGGAUUUUGUUGGCCAAUAGAGCC